rnacentral:rRNA from 1 species
AGAGUUUGAUCCUGGCUCAGGACGAACGCUGGCGGCGUGCUUAAUACAUGCAAGUCGAACGCUCUCGACCUUCGGGUCACUGAGAGAGUGGCGAACGGGUGCGUAACACGUGAGAAACCUACCCCGAAGACGGGAAUAGCCCGAGGAAACUCGGAUUAAUACCCGAUAUCUCCACACUGUCGCAUGACAGAGUGAAGAAAGUUCCGGCGCUUCGGGAGGGUCUCGCGGCCUAUCAGCUUGUUGGUGAGGUAACGGCUCACCAAGGCAUCGACGGGUAGCUGGUCUGAGAGGAUGAUCAGCCACACUGGGACUGAGACACGGCCCAGACUCCUACGGGAGGCAGCAGUAGGGAAUCUUGCGCAAUGGGCGAAAGCCUGACGCAGCAACGCCGCGUGGGGGAUGAAUGCCUUCGGGUUGUAAACCCCUUUCAGCAGGGACGAAAUUGACGGUACCUGCAGAAGAAGGUCCGGCCAACUACGUGCCAGCAGCCGCGGUAAUACGUAGGGACCGAGCGUUGUCCGGAAUUAUUGGGCGUAAAGAGCUCGUAGGCGGUUCAGUAAGUCGGGUGUGAAAACUCAAGGCUCAACCUUGAGACGCCACUCGAUACUGCUGUGACUUGAGUCCGGUAGAGGAGUGUGGAAUUCCUGGUGUAGCGGUGAAAUGCGCAGAUAUCAGGAGGAACACCAGCGGCGAAGGCGGCACUCUGGGCCGGUACUGACGCUGAGGAGCGAAAGCAUGGGGAGCAAACAGGAUUAGAUACCCUGGUAGUCCAUGCCGUAAACGUUGGGCACUAGGUAUGGGACCAUAUCAACGGGUUCCGUGCCGUAGCUAACGCAUUAAGUGCCCCGCCUGGGGAGUACGGCCGCAAGGCUAAAACUCAAAGGAAUUGA